AAAAUUCUAAUAAGAAUGUAUUUGUAAUUUUUCAAAUCACAUGGACUAAUCUGUAUCUUAAGCAAACCUUAUGGGGUGUAUUUGUAAUUUAUCCUUUUAAUUAUUAAUAUUUAUAAUAUUUUUCACUUUUUUUUGUAAAUAUUUCUCAGUGACAUUGUGUUAAUGUAAUUCCCCUUAAUUUUAAUAUUAAUGUGGGUAAUUAAAUAGAAGAAAAAAGAAAAAAAACGAUUAAAUAAUAGGUUGAAGCACUAAUAAAUCCUAAAUUAUAAACUUACGCACAACUUAAUCCUACAUAUUUUCCUUUAAACUGAAAAGUCCUAACAGAUAUGAAAUGGCAUAAUUGUCCUUCAUCAUGUGCUUGUUUUAUGUUUUUAAUAGAGGGCAAUAUAGGUUUUGGCUAUUGUCGAAAUUACUCUUAUGGACAUAAAGCACACUAGAGGUUUUUAUAGUUUUCCCUCUUUUUUGAUUGAAUCUUUGAAUCUAUGUACAAAACCAUUGGUGAUCGACAUUUCCAUAUUUAAACAUUAACAUGCUUGUGGAUUGAAACCCUAAAUGUGAUUUCUGCAUUUCCGAUGAGAGGGAGUUUGAAUUUGACAUUCGUGUUUGACGAGUAACCUUAAUCGGACGUAUAUCUACAUUAUGCACAUCAAGUAAGAACGUUGUGGAUCGCGAUGGACAAGGGUUAUCUUCAUCAUGGCCGUUGAUUACAUAAACAUCGAGGGACGUCAUCUGUCAGUGUACCAUACGCUGCCGAUUUCAAUGAAACCCAAAGGUAAUGCUCAAGGACAGUCCCACCAGAAAGUACAAGUUGUACGAAUGCGAGGUUCCGGCAUGAAAAAAUGGACAUCGACACAGUUAACAAUCAAGAAAUAAGCAAAGUUACCGUUCAAGUGUAAUAAACCAACAUCAGCCAUAAAAGAGAUUCCUCGGGUCGACACGUCCAAGCUUAUGUACCAUUUGAAUUGCCGGUGUUAUCAAAACCGUGUUAGAGGUGCGCCUGAACGAUGGUCACAUCCAGCAGCUCAAGAAAACUCCAUUCUGGCUAAUGCUCGAAGCUAUCCGCAACCACAAAUUGCAGCCAAACACGUUCAAGAAGUGUGAUGAAAUAGUUUGCUGCAUAAUACCGACGUACAAUGUAGCAGAUGAAAAAUUUUACAUUGGCGGGCAAGGACUAGCAUUAAAAAAUAGUGACAUUCGGCUAAUUUUCGGUGUUCAAUGUGGUAAGGAAUGGUUAGAUGUGUUGUACGCGCCUAAACCCCCAUCUGAUUUGUGCAACGGAGUUGCCUAAAUGUGGGAUGAAUAUCAUCCAAACUAAUCAAAGAUUUAUCGGUUGAAGCGCUGCAAGGUAAUGCAGAACGUGAUGAGGAGGACAUCGCAAAGCUCAUGUGUUUGUAUAUUUGCACAAAGUUGUUGUUUGUAACAACCAGAGAGUCGAUAGGUUGGUCUUUUGUACGUGUAAUUGACAAAUUGGAUACGUUACGACAAUAUAAUUGAACAGCGACAAUCCGGAACACUCUAAUUAAUUCACUGAAUGAGUUUCACCACAGGCUUGAGAAGGUGAUCGGAUGUGUCAUAGAGUUGCUGUUUCAAAUGUGCGAACACACAACGCUUCUGGACCCAGAACGACCUAUUGCAAUUCCAAGAUUUUGUAGAUGGAACAUUGCGCUGCUCAUAGCAAAGAUGAAAGGACUUAACUUGAUAGCACCAGAUUCCUUCAAGGUGAAUUACAAUAAACUUGGUGGUACAAUACUUGAGUGAUUCUACGUGAAUCAUGCAAUUGAUGACCAUGUGGUAAAGUAGAAUGUAAAGGGCGAGUUGGGGCUGUGACAGAUGAAAAGAAUGGUGAUAUUGGUGAUGUUGCCAUCGAAAUGGAUGACGUUGAGCUGAGUUUGGAUUAUUAGAGACCGGACUCCCCAAAUGGUGGUCACGUUGACAGUAAACCCACAAAUGAGGUCGGCGUGAAUGUUAUGGAUGUUGUAACUAUGCAAGGGCAUGUGUGUGUGAACAUGGAUGUAGCAGGGGAGGGGUGGCCGAACCUGUUUCCUGAUCUGCUUGAAUUGUCAGGCACUGCUGGUGAUAUAAACAUUAUGGGAGUGGAGACAGAAUUGAUAACUGCAAAUCAGAAAAUUAAAGAGUUGGAGGAUGCAAACAGAAUCAAGACAACGCAGGUGAAUGAGUUAGAAGGGAGAGUAGCUGUCGUGGAACGUCUGAUCGGUGCACCAAUUUAUUGGGUUUGACAUCGUGCUUCUGUUGAAAGACGAAGAGAUAGUGCAUUUGAACGCAUUGGUGUUGCAACUGAAGGAGACUGUCACAACGUUGGAAAACCAAGUGUUUGAACACGAAGCACAUGCAGUGACGUAAUCAGCCACGAAUACAACGUCAAGUAAGAGGCCAUCGUUUGAGCAACAGUUGGAUAAGUGUGGUAGUUCUACCCACAACCUAAACAGUGGCAGUCAACACCAUUCGGGGGUCUACAAAAUUGAAUGAUGAACCUGUUAUUCCAGUGGGGUCAGUGAGCAUGGGCAUCGCAGACGACGUGGAGGUUGAAACCCCAUCAAAGUCCCCCCUUUUGGGUAUCCCACAGUUGCCUACCCCUCCGGGCUGCCCAUCUCUAACCAUUGAAAAAGCCAAUUUGUCUACCAUCGUGGAUGCAUAUAAAUGUGGUAACAAUUACAAUCCAAUGUGUCAUCAUUAGUCCGACGCGUUAAAAACAAAUCGAGGCACGAGUUAAGGUGAGCAUUCUGGAGCCCGAGCCUGAAGGCCUUUGUCUGGAUCUGUGUUCUGUUGUCAGCCAACCAUUGUGCCUCACGUGGAGGUUCCCGAAGUGUCCUGUGUUCAAGUUUUGUUAGUUCUAUGUAUGACUUGUCUUAAUUCUGUUGGCUGGACUUAAAAUACUGUAAUGUGUGUGGGUAUAAUGUAUGGUUGACUACCGGUUAUGUAU